GCGUUUUCUAGACUUAUCAAAACAAACGAAGAAGAAUGCUCUCCGUCCGUACAUAAGUGUCCUAUUUGUUUUUUCUCUUUUAACGCCUUUACCCUCUUUUAUUUGCCUAUUUCCCCUUUUCUGUCUGGUGACUACAGACACUUUACAUAAAGGACUUCACUGGAUGGUUUGGGGUCUGUAGACCUGGAUUUCUUGUCAAACAAGAGUAAUGCUUCGAAGAAGGCUGCCGUUCUCACAGCUGCUCUUAGCCACGGUGCUUGGGGUCACUGGUGGCAUCUACAUCUACAGACCUUAUUUUGAGUCACGACCAAAGGGCCUUGAACACCAAAACCAGGAUGUGCCAAAGAAAGGAAAUGACACGGACUGAGCAGAUCACCACUCCCAGGAAACACUUGAUAGACUGAAGAAUUACGACCGUUGAUGCUGGACUGGAAGCAAAACAAAACUCAAACCAGUGUGGAUAAAUUUCUGCUAUUAUGGGUUACCCUGCGUAAUGAUAAAAUAAAAUAUUUUAUUCUAUGA